rnacentral:rRNA from 1 species
UACGAGGGGGGCGAGCGUUGUUCGGAAUUAUUGGGCGUAAAGGGUGCGUAGGCGGUUUGGUAAGUCUGAUGUGAAAUCUAUGGGCUCAACUCAUAGUCUGCAUCGGAAACUGCCGGGCUUGAGUGUGGGAGAGGUGAGUGGAAUUCCUGGUGUAGCGGUGAAAUGCGCAGAUAUCAGGAGGAACACCGAUGGCGAAGGCAGGUCUCUGGGCCACUACUGACGCUGAGAAGCGAAAGCAUGGGGAGCGAACAGG